AGUGAACGCUGGCGGUAGGCCUAACACAUGCAAGUCGAACGGCAGCACAGUAAGAGCUUGCUCUUACGGGUGGCGAGUGGCGGACGGGUGAGGAAUACAUCGGAAUCUACUUUUUCGUGGGGGAUAACGUAGGGAAACUUACGCUAAUACCGCAUACGACCUACGGGUGAAAGCAGGGGAUCUUCGGACCUUGCGCGAUUGAAUGAGCCGAUGUCGGAUUAGCUAGUUGGCGGGGUAAAGGCCCACCAAGGCGACGAUCCGUAGCUGGUCUGAGAGGAUGAUCAGCCACAAUGGAACUGAGACACGGUCCAGACUCCUACGGGAGGCAGCAAUGGGGAAUAUUGGACAAUGGGCGCAAGCCUGAUCCAGCCAUACCGCGUGGGUGAAGAAGGCCUUCGGGUUGUAAAGCCCUUUUGUUGGGAAAGAAAAGCAGCAGGUUAAUACCCCGCUGUUCUGACGGUACCCAAAGAAUAAGCACCGGCUAACUUCGUG
rnacentral:rRNA from 1 species